rnacentral:rRNA from 1 species
GAGUUUGAUCAUGGCUCAGAUUGAACGCUGGCGGCAUGCCUUACACAUGCAAGUCGAACGGCAGCAUGAUCUAGCUUGCUAGAUUGAUGGCGAGUGGCGAACGGGUGAGUAAUACAUCGGAACGUGCCCUGUAGUGGGGAUAACUAGUCGAAAGAUUAGCUAAUACCGCAUACGACCUGAGGGUGAAAGUGGGGGACCGCAAGGCCUCAUGCUAUAGGAGCGGCCGAUGUCUGAUUAGCUAGUUGGUGGGGUAAAGGCCCACCAAGGCGACGAUCAGUAGCUGGUCUGAGAGGACGAUCAGCCACACUGGGACUGAGACACGGCCCAGACUCCUACGGGAGGCAGCAGUGGGGAAUUUUGGACAAUGGGCGAAAGCCUGAUCCAGCAAUGCCGCGUGUGUGAAGAAGGCC